CCCCCCAGCGGGGUGACAACCCACCAGCAUGGAGGCCUCCUUCGGCCCCACCUUCUCAGCCGUGGUUCCUGGAGCUAAAACGGAAGCCUCCGGUACCUACAAGCAGCACCGCCGUACCCCCUCCUCCUCCAGUACCCUCACAUACUCGCCACGAGACGACGAGGAUGGCAUGCUCCCCAUCAGCACCCCGAGGCGUUCUGACUCUGCCAUCUCGGUGCGUUCCCUC